GAUGAAGAACGUAGCGAAAUGCGAUAAGUAAUGUGAAUUGCAGAAUUCAUUGAAUCAUCGAAUCUUUGAACGCACAUUGCGCCCCUUGGUAUUCCGAGGGGCAUGCCUGUUCGAGCGUCAUUAUAACCCCUCAAGCUCAGCUUGGUGUUGGGGCCUGCUGCACUGGCAGCCCUUAAAAUCAGUGGCGGCGCCAUCUGGCUCUAAGCGUAGUAAUUCUUCUCGCUAUGGAGUCCUGGUGGAUGCUUGCCAUCAACCCCCAAUUUUUCUAUGGUUGACCUCGGAUCAGGUAGGGAUACCCGCUGAACUUAAGCAUAUCAAUAAGCGGAGGA
rnacentral:misc_RNA from 1 species